rnacentral:misc_RNA from 1 species
GAUGAAGAACGCAGCGAAAUGCGAUAAGUAGUGUGAAUUGCAGAAUUCAGUGAAUCAUCGAAUCUUUGAACGCACAUUGCGCCUUCUAGUAUUCUGGGAGGCAUGCCUGUUUGAGCGUCAUUAAACCUCUCUCAAGUAUGAUUACUUGGAUGUGAAGGAAGAGUACCUUAAACUUAAGGAGUGUUCUCCUUUGAAAUUGAUUAGCAGAUGGUAAUGUUAUUAAAUCCCUGAUGUUGUGAGAAAUAACAGUGGUUUUGUAGACUAUUAUCUAGCUUUAAAUUAUAAUUUUUAUUAUGGUUGACCUCAAAUCAGGUAAGGAUACCCGCUGAACUUAAGCAUAUCAAUAAGCGGAGGA